rnacentral:lncRNA from 1 species
AAUCAGUGUAGAUCUGCACCGCGACAUGGGUCAUCAAUAGGCAAUCGAUGGUAGGAGAUUUUAGGCCUAUUUUCAGACACAUCACAGAAUAUGGUACCUCCACUGAAGUAACUAACCCAGCAGAUAUAGUUUUCGAAAGGGAGCACUCUGUCAGUUCUCCAAUAGAUCAAGUCAGAUAACUCAUGCGCCUCAUACUUUAUCUGUAGAUUCCGCAGAAGCUCCCACUCGUUGGAGCGUAGAAGGCAUAGUUCGGCUUCCAUCUUCGCCGGCAAAUUGG